rnacentral:rRNA from 1 species
GAUGAACGCUGGCGGCGUGCCUAACACAUGCAAGUCGAGCGAGAAACCAUCGAUUGAAACUUCGGUAGAUAUUGAAGGCGGAAAGCGGCGGACGGGUGAGUAACGCGUAGGCAACCUGCCCUUUGCAGAGGGAUAGCAACGGGAAACUGUUAUUAAAACCUCAUAAUACCGACAUGUCAAAUGACAAGACGGUCAAAGAUUUAUCGGCAAAGGAUGGGCCUGCGUCUGAUUAGUUAGUUGGUAGGGUAACGGCCUACCAAGGCAGCGAUCAGUAGCCGACCUGAGAGGGUGAUCGGCCACAUUGGAACUGAGAUACGGUCCAAACUCCUACGGGAGGCAGCAGUGGGGAAUAUUGUACAAUGGGCGAAAGCCUGAUGCAGCAACGCCGCGUGAAGGAUGAAGGCCUUUGGGUCGUAAACUUCUGUCCUUGGGGAAGAAAAAAAUGACGGUACCCCUGGAGGAAGUCCCGGCUAACUACGUGCCAGCAGCCGCGGUAAUAC